AGUGAACGCUGGCGGUAGGCCUAACACAUGCAAGUCGAACGGCAGCACAGUAAGAGCUUGCUCUUACGGGUGGCGAGUGGCGGACGGGUGAGGAAUACAUCGGAAUCUACUUUUUCGUGGGGGAUAACGUAGGGAAACUUACGCUAAUACCGCAUACGACCUACGGGUGAAAGCAGGGGAUCUUCGGACCUUGCGCGAUUGAAUGAGCCGAUGUCGGAUUAGCUAGUUGGCGGGGUAAAGGCCCACCAAGGCGACGAUCCGUAGCUGGUCUGAGAGGAUGAUCAGCCAAACGGGAAGUGAGACACGGUCCAGACUCCUACGGGAGGCAGCAGUGGGGAAUAUUGGACAAUGGGCGCAAGCCUGAUCCAGCCAUACCGCGUGGGUGAAGAAGGCCUUCGGGUUGUAAAGCCCUUUUGUUGGGAAAGAAAAGCAGCAGGUUAAUACCCAGCUGUUCUGACGGUACCCAAAGAAUAAGCACCGGCUAACUUCGUG
rnacentral:rRNA from 1 species